AGUGCUUUUUUCCAGAUCUCGAUCCCAAACUCCCUCCUGCCAGAAUCUGGACCCGAAUCCACCCAUUGCCCGUUUUCCGCUGCCGCUGGAGAGAAUCUCUGAGGUCCCCAGGAGAGCCUGCCUGCACGGAAGAGACGCCUCCUCGAUUAAAUGCUGUUUUCCAUGACCGUCUCUGUUCUUCCCAUACGGGAAUGGCAGGCAUUCAGAUCUCCAAGAAUAGAGGAUUAGGAGAGACUCCACCACCUAUGUCCUCACAGUUAAUUAUCGAUUUGUGUCAGUUGCCCAUUUUCUCACUUCCUGUUUGUG
rnacentral:lncRNA from 1 species